rnacentral:rRNA from 1 species
UACGGAGGGGACUAGCGUUGCUCGGAAUCACUGGGCGUAAAGCGCACGUAGGCGGAUUGUUAAGUCAGGGGUGAAAUCCUGGAGCUCAACUCCAGAACUGCCUUUGAUACUGGCGAGCUUGAGUUCGGGAGAGGUGAGUGGAACUGCGAGUGUAGAGGUGAAAUUCGUAGAUAUUCGCAAGAACACCAGUGGCGAAGGCGGCUCACUGGCCCGAUACUGACGCUGAGGUGCGAAAGCGUGGGGAGCAAACAGG